ACUAAUGUCAACCCUUGUGCUCAAACAAGUCUUCAAGACACUGAAAAUCAGCAGAAUGCAGUUAUCGGGAAGUUCUUUUUGUUUUAUGUCUCUAAUUUUUGCCUGGAUCGCCCUUUCGGGUUUUCAAUCCACCGAGACGCUCAUUUUUGCCUAAGCCGCCCUUUCGGGUUUUCAAUUUAGCGAGUUGUUCUUUUAUUUUUAUUUUUUUAGGCGAAGUAUUUCUUGACUGCAUCUGCG
rnacentral:lncRNA from 1 species